AUUCCCUCAGUCAGCGGCGAGCGAAGAGGGACCGAACCCGAUGCCGAAUCGGACCUUAACGGUCUUGAGUUGUGGCACAAGCGGUGUUUCGUGGUUGGUGCGGGAUCAGCAAAAUUCAAUUCGGCAAAGCAAACCCAGCUGAAAACAACCCUUCAUGUGAGUAUUGAGCCAUAGAAGGUGGUAGCCCAUUGAGCUGAGAACCCUAGCGCCUCAUUAAACACUUCAAGAGAGUAGCACUGUUUGGGAAUGCAGUGUCAAGCGGCAGGUAUUUGUCUGCCAAGGUUAAACACAGAGUAGGAAGACCGAUAUCGAACAAGUAGCGUGAGCGAAAGUUUGAAAAGCACUUUGGAGAGAGAGUGACAUAGAACCUGAAGUCGCGACAAUGACAAUGGAAGUACCUCCAUUUCAUUGGCCAAAACCCACCUGACAGCAUUCGAUUUCGGGCGCUACUUUGGUGGCGUUCCGUAACAAGUGCCGAAAACCGGGUGUGGUGAAAUGAGC
rnacentral:rRNA from 1 species